GAAAUAAGCAUUAUACGAUCUUGUGCUGUGGAAGAAAUAAAAGCGACGGACUGCAUAAUAAAGGUCCAUAUCACAAGUGGCAAUAUAAAGUGACGUUCUUUCGCAUUAAGAUUUUGUGCAUCCAACC